GUGCCAGCAGCCGCGGUAAUACGUAGGUGGCAAGCGUUGUCCGGAAUUAUUGGGCGUAAAGCGCGCGCAGGUGGUUCCUUAAGUCUGAUGUGAAAGCCCACGGCUCAACCGUGGAGGGUCAUUGGAAACUGGGGAACUUGAGUGCAGAAGAGGAAAGUGGAAUUCCAAGUGUAGCGGUGAAAUGCGUAGAUAUUUGGAGGAACACCAGUGGCGAAGGCGACUUUCUGGUCUGUAACUGACACUGAGGCGCGAAAGCGUGGGGAGCAAACAGGAUUAGAUACCCUGGUAGUCCACGCCGUAAACGAUGAGUGCUAAGUGUUAGGGGGUUUCCGCCCCUUAGUGCUGCAGCUAACGCAUUAAGCACUCCGCCUGGGGAGUACGGUCGCAAGACUGAAACUCAAAGGAAUUGACGG
rnacentral:rRNA from 1 species